CGGACUGCAGUCUGCAACUCGACUGCACGAAGCUGGAAUCGCUAGUAAUCGCGGAUCAGCACGCCGCGGUGAAUACGUUCCCGGGCCUUGUACACACCGCCCGUCACACCAUGGAAGUCUGCAAUGCCCGAAGCCGGUGGCCUAACCACUUAUGUGGAAGGAGCCGUCUAAGGCAGGGCAGAUGACUGGGGUGAAGUCGUAACAAGGUAGC
rnacentral:rRNA from 1 species